rnacentral:rRNA from 1 species
AACGCGAAGAACCUUACCUGGGCUUGAACUACUGGUAGUAAGUCCCUGGAAACAGGGGCUGAUCCGCAAGGAAGCCAGCAGAGGUGCUGCAUGGUUGUCGUCAGCUCGUGUCGUGAGAUGUUGGGUUAAGUCCCGCAACGAGCGCAACCCCUAUCUCAUGUUGCUAAUCCCGCAAGGGAUGCACUUUUGAGAAACUGCCUUCGAUAAGAAGGAGGAAGGUGGGGACGACGUCAAAUCCUCAUGGCCCUUAUGUCCAGGGCUACACACGUGCUACAAUGGCCGGUACAACGGGAAGCAAUACCGCAAGGUGGAGCCAAACCCUAAAAGCCGGCCUCAGUUCAGAUCGUGGGCUGCAACUCGCCCACGUGAAGGCGGAAUCGCUAGUAAUCGCAGAUCAGCAGGCUGCGUGAAUACGUUCCCGGGCCUUGUACACACCGGUAUCUC